rnacentral:rRNA from 1 species
AUGCAGACCGAUACUCAGUUCUCUUCGGCCGCGAUGAAGAGGACCAGCGACUGGAUCCGUUCGCAAGAAUUCCCAAGCGAUAUUACCAUCCAAGUUGGGGAGAGCAGCUUCAACCUUCACAAGCUCCCACUGGCAUCUAAAUGCGGCUACAUAAGGAAGCUGGUGUCGGGGGCCAACGGGUCCAGGGUGACCCACCUGGAGAUCACGGGCAUGCCCGGCGACGCCAAGGCGUUCGACCUCGUCAUCAAGUUCUGCUACGGCGUCAACUUCGAGAUCACCGCCGACAACGUCGCCAUGCUGCGCUGCGCCGCCGAGCACCUUGAGAUGACGGAGGAGUGCAAGCCCGGGAACCUCAUCGGCAGGACCGAGGCCUACCUGGAGGAGGUGGCGCUGGCGAGCCUCGAGGGCGCGGUCACCGCGCUCCGCAGGGCCGAGGAGCUCCUCCCGGCGUCCGACAAGGUGCAGCUCAUUGGCAGGUGCAUCGAUGCCAUAGCGACCAUGACCUGCGGCGACGGCAGCCAUGAAGGGCUGGACGACGUGGGCGCGCCACCGAAGCCUGUCGAUGACUGGUGGGCCGACGAGCUGACGGCGCUGAGGAUCGACACCUUCCAGAGGGUCAUGAUCGCCAUGAAGGCGAGGGGGUUCAAGGGCAUCGCCAUGGGGACGAUGAUCAUGCUCUACGCUCAGAAGUCUCUACGAAGAUUGGACAUGAACGGGAGGGAGCGGAAGAAGAUGGAGCCGAGGCAGGAGCACGAGAAGCGGGUGGUUCUCGAGACGAUCGUGAGCCUCCUGCCGAGGGAGAAGAACACCAUGUCAGUGAGCUUCCUGUCGAUGCUGCUCCGGGCGGCGAUCUACCUCGACACGUCGCUGGCGUGCCGGCUCGACCUGGAGACGCGGAUGGCCGCGCAGCUCGGCCAGGCCGUGCUCGACGACCUGCUCAUCCCGUCCUCCUCGCCCGAGGGCGCAGGCACGGCCUACGACGUCGACGCGGUGCAGAGGAUCCUGGCCGGGUACCUGGAGAACGAGGGCGAGGCGACGCGCCUGGACUACAACACGGACGACGACUUCGCCUCGGCGGCGUCGCCGCCCAACGACGUCGGGCCGGUCGGCAAGCUCAUGGAGAGCUACCUCGCCGAGAUCUCCUCGGACGUGAACCUGCCCGUUGACAAGUUCACCGGCCUCGCCGAGCUCAUCCCGGAGCGCGCCCGGUUCAACGAGGACGGCAUGUACCGCGCCAUCGACAUCUACCUGAAGGCGCAUCCGUCGUUGGGCGAGGGCGAGAGGAAGAAGGUGUGCGGCGUCAUGGACUGCCAGAAGCUGUCGCGGGAGGCGUGCGCGCACGCGGCGCAGAACGACCGGCUGCCGGUGCAGACGGUGGUGCAGGUACUGUACCACGAGCAGCGGCGCCUCCGCGUGCCGCCGCCCUCGCAGGCGCCGAGCGGCGCGCCGUCGUACGCCGGGGGGGAGUCGCCGGCGGUGUCGUACGGGCGGGAGCGGAGCGCGCCGUCCAGCGAGGUGUCGCGGCUGCAGCGGGAGAACGACGAGCUGAGGAUGGAGCUGAUGCAGAUGAAGAUGCGCCUGAGGGACCCGUCGGGCGCGGCGCCGGCCCCGGCGCCGCCACUCGCGGCGGGGGCAACCCGGAGCUUCCCGUCGUCGGGGAAGCCGCCACUGCCGAAGAAGCAGGGCGGCAGCGGCGGAGGAGGCGGCGGCGGGUUCAUGAAGAAGCUCGGGCGGCUGAACCCGUUCGUGCGCGACCCUCUGGGCGGCGGCAAGGUCCGCACGAAGCCGCCCAAGGAUCGCAGGCACUCCAUUUCUUGA